CUCUGUGACUCCUACGGGAGGCAGCAGUGGGAAUAUUGCACAAUGGGCGCAAGCCUGAUGCAGCAACGCCGCGUGAGCGAUGAAGGCCUUCGGGUCGUAAAAGCUCUGUCCCUCAAGGAAGAAUAAAAUGACGGUACUUGAGGAGGAAGCCCCGGCUAACUACGUGCCAGCAGCCGCGGUAAUACGUAGGGGCAAGCGUUAUCCGGAAUCACUGGGCGUAAAAGGGUGCGUAGGCGGUUUUUCAAAGUCAGAAAGUGAAAAAGGCUAUGGCUCAAACCAUAGUAAAGCUUUUGAAAAACUGUUAAAACUUGAGUGCAGGAGAGGAAAAGUGGAAUUCCUAGUGUAGAGGUGAAAUUCGUAGAUAUUAGGAGGAACACCAGUGGCGAAGGCGACUUUUCUGGACUGUAACUGACGCUGAGGCACGAAAGCGUGGGGAGCGAACAGGAUUAGAUACCCUGGGAG
rnacentral:rRNA from 1 species